rnacentral:rRNA from 1 species
AUGRUACYUGCUUCCAGGCGUCGAGCGGCGGACGGGUGAGUAAUGCUUAGGAAUCUGCCUAGUAGUGGGGGAUAGCCCGGGGAAACUCGGAUUAAUACCGCAUACGCCCUACGGGGGAAAGCAGGGGAUCUUCGGACCUUGCGCUAUUAGAUGAGCCUAAGUCGGAUUAGCUUGUUGGUGGGGUAAUGGCCUACCAAGGCGACGAUCCGUAGCUGGUCUGAGAGGAUGAUCAGCCACAUCGGGACUGAGACACGGCCCGAACUCCUACGGGAGGCAGCAGUGGGGAAUAUUGGACAAUGGGCGCAAGCCUGAUCCAGCCAUGCCGCGUGUGUGAAGAAGGCUUUCGGGUUGUAAAGCACUUUCAGCGAGGAGGAAGGCCUUAAGACUAAUACUCUUGAGGAUUGACGUCACUCGCAGAAGAAGCACCGGCUAACUCCGUGCCAGCAGCCGCGGUAAUACGGAGGGUGCAAGCGUUAAUCGGAAUUACUGGGCGUAAAGCGCGCGUAGGUGGUUAUGUAAGCGAGAUGUGAAAGCCCCGGGCUCAACCUGGGAACGGCACUUCAACUGCAUGGCUAGAGUGUGGUAGAGGGUAGUGGAAUUUCCUGUGUAGCGGUGAAAUGCGUAGAUAUAGGAAGGAACACCAGUGGCGAAGGCGGGUACCUGGACCAACACUGACACUGAGGUGCGAAAGCGUGGGGAGCAAACAGGAUUAGAUACCCUGGUAGUCCACGCCGUAAACGAUGUCAACUAGCCGUUGGGGAUCUUGAAUCCUUAGUGGCGCAGCUAACGCAUUAAGUUGACCGCCUGGGGAGUACGCCCGCAAGGUUAAAACUCAAAUGAAUUGACGGGGGCCCGCACAAGCGGUGGAGCAUGUGGUUUAAUUCGACGCAACGCGAAGAACCUUACCUGGCCUUGACAUGCAGAGAACUUUCCAGAGAUGGAUCGGUGCCUUCGGGAACUCUGACACAGGUGCUGCAUGGCCGUCGUCAGCUCGUGUCGUGAGAUGUUGGGUUAAGUCCCGUAACGAGCGCAACCCCUAUCCCUAGUUGCUAGCAGGUAAUGCUGAGAACUCUAGGGAGACUGCCGGUGACAAACCGGAGGAAGGUGGGGAUGACGUCAGGUCAUCAUGGCCCUUACGGCCAGGGCUACACACGUGCUACAAUGGCGCGCACAGAGGGCUGCAAACCCGCGAGGGGGAGCCAAUCUCACAAAACGCGUCGUAGUCCGGAUCGGAGUCUGCAACUCGACUCCGUGAAGUCGGAAUCGCUAGUAAUCGUGAAUCAGAAUGUCACGGUGAAUACGUUCCCGGGCCUUGUACACACCGCCCGUCACACCAUGGGAGUGGAUUGCACCAGAAGUAGUUAGUCUAACCUUCGGGAGG